rnacentral:rRNA from 1 species
GGGUGCCAGCCGCCGCGGUAAUACCUGCAGCCCAAGUGGUGACUGUUAUUAUUGGGCCUAAAACGUCCGUAGCCGGUUUAGUAAAUGCCUGGGUAAAUCGUACGGCUUAACCGUACGAAGUCCGGGUAGACUGCUGAACUUGAGACCGGGAGAGGCUAGAGGUACUCCUG